rnacentral:rRNA from 1 species
GACGAACCGUGCGAACGUUGUUCGGAUUCACUGGGCUUAAAGGGCGCGUAGGCGGGCCAUCAAGUCAGGGGUGAAAUCUUUCGGCUCAACCGGAAAAGUGCCUUUGAUACUGGUGGUCUCGAGGGAGGUAGGGGCAUGCGGAACUUCCGGUGGAGCGGUGAAAUGCGUAGAUAUCGGAAGGAACAUCAGUGGCGAAAGCGACUUCCUGGACCAGUACCGACGUUCAGGCACGAAAGCGUGGGGAGCAAACAGG